CCGGGGUCCUGGGCUGGGUGGCACUGUUGCUGGGGGGCCCCUGGGUGGGGCAUUCCUUCCUGCCUGGCUCCCCCUUCCCCAUCUGUCAAGAGUGGAAACAGUGAAUGCGGGGCGCCCAGGCAGCCUAGGGGGAGUAGGGGCGGGUUCAGGGCACAGCCCGGCUGUCAAGUCUUGGGGAAGAGGAGGGAGGGACUUCUCUGGUGGCCCCACUAGGGUUGCAGGUCCUCCCAGGGCUCAGCUCCCUCUAGUUGGCCCUGGGGUUGAGUCCUGACCAGGUGUCUCUGCUGUCCAGGGAGUCUGGGCCACAACUCUGGCAGCCUGGGGACCUGCCUCAAGAAGGAUGGCAGUGCUGGAUGCCUGAGUGCCCUCCUGGUCUCCCACCCCCUGAACGCCCAUGGUCGGGGAACAUAACCUCGUCUCUGCGGGCGAGGCACACUCUGCCUGUGGGGCCAGUGUGGAGAAGCUGGUCAGGAACUGGAGGCCUGAAACUCGGGUCAGGAAAACCCCAUGUCUGUCCCUGGGUGUGCAUCAGACCAGGAAGAGGGACAAAGGCCACAGCAGCCCCGGGGAGAUGCCAGUGGCAGUGACCGGUCAGAGACCACUGGAGCAGAGUAAUGAGAAUGGCUGAAGGAGACACCUGGGGAUGCUUGAAGCUGCCCCCCGGAGCACGGUCCAGACACCUCCACGGUGAGUCCCAGUGUCAGGAGCAGGCGAGGGGAGGCCCAGGGAGUAACCAAUGAAUCACAACAU
rnacentral:lncRNA from 1 species